rnacentral:rRNA from 1 species
CCUACGGGUGGCAGCAGUGAGGAAUAUUGGUCAAUGGACGAGAGUCUGAACCAGCCAAGCCGCGUGAAGGAUGAAUGUUCUAAGCAUUGUAAACUUCUUUUGUAAAGGAAUAAAACGAGGCACGUGUGCCUGAUUGCAUGUACUUUAAGAAUAAGGAUCGGCUAACUCCGUGCCAGCAGCCGCGGUAAUACGGAGGAUCCGAGCGUUAUCCGGAUUUAUUGGGUUUAAAGGGAGCGUAGAUGGGUUGUUAAGUCAGUUGUGAAAGCUCGGGGCUCAACCGUAGAAGUGCAAUUGAUACUGGCAGUCUUGAGUACAGGUGAGGUAUGCGGAAUUCGUAGUGUAGCGGUGAAAUGCUUAGAUAUUACGAAGAACCCCGAUUGCGAAGGCAGCUUACUGGACGGUAACUGACGUUGAGGCUCGAAAGUGUGGGUAUCAAACAGGAUUAGAUACCCGAGUAGUC